rnacentral:lncRNA from 1 species
CUGUUACCAAGUCUUUUUCUCAAAUAUGGAACUCUUUUUUCUCAAAUAACUGUUUUAAGAAGCUGUUACCAAGUCUUAAAACAAAAACAGAAAUUAAAUUGAUACACUCGAAAACCACACAAGAGGGCUUCUUUUAAACAUUACAUCAGACUCAGUCUUUGUUUUAUUGGAACUUACCAAAAGCACUCAAAAGCAUGAGCACCAUCGGCUAGGAGUCUUUAGAUUCCCCUUUUAGCACAAUCUCUAGGAAUUACGAUUUGAUACACCUCUUACUUGGCCUCGACCACCAUAUCCAUAGUCGCCGCCGCCGCCACCACCACGAGGUCCACUAUAACCGCCACAUGAAUGAACGUUACCGCAGAAAGCUUCUCUCAUUUGCCAAAACUCUAGCAUUUUCAUCACCCGUAUUCAUCUCAAUAAAGUUCGUCCAUGCAAAAUUCUUACGUCCAUUUAAUUAUGCUUACAUGGACAUGCUUCUUUUAAUGGAUUCUUAUAAACAAAUUUCCAAUUUCAACAAAGCUAUUUACAAUGGGCGUGAAAUCUUGCAACCUGCGAGAGUGAAAGAGGAGAUCAGAGCAAUAAUUAAGGAAAUACAAUCUCACAACAUCCAUUUAGAAGAAUUUCUCUCCAGAUUCAUACAAUAAACAUACAUAUAGCUCAAUUUCUCUCCAGAUUCAUCAAUUCCACUGCAGAUUUUAGAGAUUUAAAGUGAACUGAUCCAAAUAUUUCCAGAUUCAAAGGAAGAAAAAGAGAGAUUGAAGAAUCUAGAUGACAACCCCAGAAAUCCAGAUUUGAGGAAUCCAGAUGACAAUGUCGGAACCAGAAAAAGAGCGCUCGAGGAAUUCUUUGGAAACCAAGAAUCCUAGGGAAAUAAAACAACAUUCUCGCUCAAUGACAAAAGAGAGAUUACUGUUUUUGAACCCUUAAACUAAUGCCAAAAUGAUCUCCUCUUCUUCUCUUUAGCUGCUUAUAGAGACCGGGCGCUUGGUAAUGAGUUUCACUGCAUUGGUAAUGAGUUUCAAAUAUUAUUUUUAACAUUACAAGUAGAGAGAUCUAGGAUAUAAAUGAUUUACUAUCCAUCGGGAUUGUACUAUAUGGUUACGAAACAGCAUCAAAUGAUUUAGCGUCCACGCAAACAUGAACAUGUGGAUAUCCCAUCCUCUUAUAAACACUUUUGCAGUUUUUCGGUGUAUCAUUUCAAUAGUUUAAAAUGAUUUAAUGUCCAUAGGGAUUGUACUAUGUGGUUAUGAAUCAGUUCCAAAUGAUUUUGUAUCUUUGUAAUUUAGCUUUUCGUGUGACUCAGCUAAUCAAUCCUUCUUUCGUGCGUUGUAUCAAAACUUCAAGCAGCUUAGGAUCCAAAAACUUCAAGCAGCUUAGGAUAGACACUUGGUUUACAGUGUUGCAACAAAGCUCUGCCUAGGUUCUACUCUACCUGUCACCUAGAUUACAUAGCAAAACAUAACCAGCCAUAUCAAAGGUUAAUACUUUCAACUAAAAAACUACAGUUCGAAGAUAAUCCAGUAGAUACCAUAAGAGAGAUUCAGGUGAGAUGAUUUGCAACUGAUUUAUGUAUAUACCAUAAGAGAGAUGCAGAGUCAACACAAACAAGCUACACAAAGUAGUAACAAUAAAGAGUUAUAAGCGUUUAAGUAUAGCAAACAAACAAAACAGGAGAUAGCAAUACUGUAGGACAACUAGUUAGCAACUAAAAGGAGUAAAAACUUUUAAAGAUCAAGACCUUGAUAUCCUCACAAAGUCACAAACAUUCACAAAUUCGAAAUCCAAAUUUUGAGGUUUCAAGGGAAGAGAUAACUCGCGUAAUUGUAGACUUAGAAAUCAUCAAUGAAAAACGUGACACUUCCCAAAUCAAAGGUCAAAGCUUCAUCUAACCGAUGAACAAUCGCCUCAAAUUCCAAAAUCCAUCUCAAAUACAUAAAAAUAAGGUGAAGAUCAACAGGGUAUCGUCUUCCUUUUUUUUGUUUUAUUAUAGCCACAGUUUUACUUGCGUUGAAUAAUUCCGUUUAUCUAAAAGACAAGAAAUCAAACGACAACAUCAAUUACAUAUCCACUGCAUAUGCCAUGGAAUCAUCGAUUACAUAUCCUUCGGUUUGUUGCAUUUUUCCCAAUCGAACUUCAAGCAAAAACAAAAUCGAAACAAUCAAAUGUUGUAUGGGAAAGGAAUAAGAUCUGGAAAAACAAUGAAGCAAGAGAAUUACUUUUUAGGGUUGAGAAACAUAAUAGCUGGUUGACUUUUUAGCUGUGGCACAGAAGAAAUUGAAGAGACAACCCAUGGCUUCGAUGAAAUCGGAAGAGAGAAAAAGGAACAGCAAUGGAAGAAGCUACUGAGAUUUUCCGAGAAAGAUAGGAAAAGUCGAGAGUGAAAGAAUUGGUGGGUAUGAGUCAAUUGUUUUCAAAUUUGAAAUUAUCUGAUGGAAAUCACGGUAAUGAGAUAAGUCCAGAAAUGG